rnacentral:lncRNA from 1 species
UAUAAUUUACAAGUACUUUUUUGUGAUACAAACAAGGGCGAAGCCAUCUUUGAUACUACCCUCUAGAUUUUGGAAGAACAUUAGUUUGAUAGAGUUUCAUUUAAUGAUUUACCUUUGUUCCAUUUGGGACAAGGUUCAACAAGAUUUUCAAUCUCUCAUUAAUCCUUUCUCUUUUUCUCUGCAAAAUUGGAUAAAAUGAUAUCAGAAACCCUUGAACAACUCGUUGAGAAUGUAUAUAACCUUAUUCCGAUCAUGUCAAGUUAUUACCUACCCUUGCAUAAAGACUUUGAGGAUAAGUUGUAGAACCCCUGCUAGCUCUUGCUUUUCCAUUUGAUUUUUGACUGUCUUAAGUUUUCCCCUUCAUUUAGUUCUUGAGAACCAUUGCAGUCAUCCUCAGAGAUGCCACUCCCUCCACUAUUGGUCGCUUUUAAUUCUUCGUUGCUAUUUUUGAGUUACUUUCUUGUUCUUCUUCAACUGGACAAUCCCUGGUUUAUUCCUUGAUGUUUGCACUCAUUGAUUUAAUUAAUCCUUUAGAUACAGUAUAAAAAACGUAAGAAGAAAAUUUAAACAUAUUUGAACUGAUUCUACUCACAUCUCCAGAAACGCUAGAUUUAUUCAAUUUAAAUUGGGUGAACGAUUCAAUUUUAGUCGCUGGUUCCGAAUUGAUUCCAAGUGCCUCCUUUUAGCGUGCAUAUUAUUUAUUAUAGUUUCUACUAGGUUGUAACACCUUAAAAUAAUAAUAAUAAUAAUAAGGAAAAGUCAAAAUUGUCAAGCCAAGCCAAAAAAAAAAGGGGUCAGGCGGUGAUUCACACAAAUGAAACAAACCCAUUUCAUUUCCAUAUAUAUAGAGAGUCAGAGAGAACGAGAAAGAGAAGAGAG